AUCGCUCUCAGCCUUGACUAAGAUCAAGUGGAGUAUCUGUUGCUGUUAGUUCUAUUUUGACUCGUCCCUUAUCAAGGAACCAUAUAUCAAUUGAUUUGGAACAGGGAGAUGGGGAGGGGCUUGCUCCGUCCACUCCACGCAUCAACCAGUAUUGCAGUACCUUUAAAUAUAAAUCCUCUACU